AUUGAACGCUGGCGGCAGGCCUAACACAUGCAAGUCGAGCGGAUGAAGGGAGCUUGCUCCUGGAUUCAGCGGCGGACGGGUGAGUAAUGCCUAGGAAUCUGCCUGGUAGUGGGGGAUAACGUCCGGAAACGGGCGCUAAUACCGCAUACGUCCUGAGGGAGAAAGUGGGGGAUCUUCGGACCUCACGCUAUCCGAUGAGCCUAGGUCGGAUUAGCUAGUUGGUGGGGUAAAGGCCUACCAAGGCGACGAUCCGUAACUGGUCUGAGAGGAUGAUCAGUCACACUGGAACUGAGACACGGUCCAGACUCCUACGGGAGGCAGCAGUAGGGAAUAUUGCACAAUGGGCGAAAGCCUGACCCAGCCAUGCCGCGUGUGUGAAGAAGGUCUUCGGAUUGUAAAGCACUUUAAGUAGGGAGGAAGGGAAGUAUGAUAAUACCUGGAUGUUUUGACGGUACCAACAGAGUAAGCCCCGGCUAACUUCGUG
rnacentral:rRNA from 1 species